GGGAAAAAAAAAAAAAAACUUGUGAUACAGAGAAGGAGACAGAGUUCGUACCCGCCACCGUCCGUUCCAUUGCCAGAAUUAUACCACUCAAACCGGCACCGAUAACCUAAAGGUGCACACAGGAAUUGAGAUACGGACAUAGAGAGAACUACCACCGAGAGAGAGUCUGUAAUGCAAUGAGAGAGAAAUUUGAUGGCCCUGCCACUGCCUUCUCGGUCUUCUGCCACUGUCAUACUUUCAGAACCAUUACCGAAAACUCCUUUUAGCCUAUUUUUCCCCGAAACCAAACACCCAAAAACCUUGAACCAAAGAGAGCCAUAAUAGGAACAACUGGUCAUGAGUCACAACCACAACCCAUCCAAGCAUCUACAAUGUCAACAAUGACAAGAAUAGAAGGUAUGAUAAUAAAUGAUUUUGUUCUUUUGAUUAAAUCUAUAGAGCCCAAAUUUUAAUGUUUUCACCUUACAUUACACUUUGUAUUAAUGAGCAUCCCGCUUAAUCCUAGAUUUACAAGUUGAAUGAUGUCACUUCUCAUUAGAUGGGGAGUCCAUAUGCUUAUAGGUGGGCUUGGUAGGAAGCCAAGAAGGUGAGCAGCUAGGUGGAUUAAAAUUGUUUCUUUUUGAAACAUUGUUCAAUGCUGUAGACAGUGAGGAAUGCAUACUUUAAUGCUGCUAUAGUCAAAAGAUUU